AAAAGCGAUGGCAGCUAAAGGAGAACUGGGCAUCCCGUCGGCUCUGCCAUACAUAACCUUGAGAUCGGUGGAUUAGUAGUUGGGUGGGUGACCACCAGCGAAUACCCACUGUUGUAUGUA
rnacentral:rRNA from 1 species